UUAAGCUAUAAAGAGCGCAGGGUGGAUGCCUUGGCACUAAGAGCCGAUGAAAGACGUGAUAAGCUGCGAAAAGCUUCGGGGAGGAGCAAAUAUCCUUUGAUCCGGAGAUAUCUGAAUGGGGAAACCCGGCUGAGCAAACCUCAGUCACUGCAUGGUGAAUCCAUAGCCAUGCAGAGGGAACCCGGUGAACUGAAACAUCUAAGUAGCCGGAGGAAGAGAAAGAAACAUCGAUUCCCAAAGUAGCGGCGAGCGAAAUGGGAAGAGCCCAAACCAGCGUGCGUGCAUGCUGGGGUUAAGGACUGCAAACGUGAACCGAUUUGUUAGUGGAACUGUCUGGGAAGUCAGGCCAUAGAGGGUGAAAGCCCCGUACACGAAAACAAUAGGAAGCAGCAGGAUCCAGAGUACCACGAGACACGAGAAACCUUGUGGGAAGUCGGAGGGACCACCCUCCAAGGCUAAAUACUCCUUAGUGACCGAUAGCGCAUAGUACUGUGAAGGAAAGGUGAAAAGGACCCCGGGAGGGGAGUGAAAAAGAACCUGAAACCCUGUGUUUACAAGCUGUGGAAGCACGUUAAGGUGCGACCGCGUACUUUUUGUAGAACGGUCCGGCGAGUUGCCGGUACUGGCAAGGUUAAGAGCUGAAGGCUCGGAGCCGAAGGGAAACCAAGUCUCAAAUGGGCGUCAAGUCAGUACAGGCAGACCCGAAACCGGGUGACCUAUCCAUGUCCAGGUUGAAGCGGAAGUAAAAUUCCGUGGAGGACCGGAUCCACAUCCGUUGAAAAGGGUGGGAAUGAGGUGUGGAUAGGGGAGAAAUUCCAAUCGAACCCGGAGAUAGCUGGUUCUCCUCGAAAUAGCUUUAGGGCUAGCCUCGUAUUAGUUUAGCGGAGGUAGAGCACUGAAUUCUUAAGGGGGCGUCAAAGCUUACCAAGAGAUAUCAAACUCCGAAUGCCGCAUAAAUGAUGUACGGGAGUCAGACUGCACGAGAUAAGUUGGGUAGUCAAAAGGGAAAGAGCCCAGACCUACAGCUAAGGUCCCAAAGUGUGUGUUAAGUGGAAAAGGAUGUGGGAUUUCAAAGACAACUAGGAUGUUGGCUCAGAAGCAGCCACACAUUCAAAGAGUGCGUAAUAGCUCACUAGUCGAGAGGUCCUGCGCCGAAAAUGUCCGGGGCUGAAACACAACACCGAAGCUUAGGAAUGUAUGUAAGUACAUUGGUAGAGGAGCAUUCUCAGGACGGAGAAGCGGUACCGAUAAGGAGCCGUGGAGUGCUGAGAAGAGAGAAUGCCGGAAUGAGUAGCGAGAUGGAGGUGGGAAUCCUCCAGGCCGAAUAUCCAAGGUUUCCAGAGUAAAGCUGAUCUGCUCUGGGUAAGUCGGGGCCUAAGGCGAGGCUGAGAGGCGUAGUCGAUGGACAACAGGUUGAAAUUCCUGUACCAUGUAUCAUCAGAACUGUGGGGACACAGAAGGACAACACAUCCCGGGAAUGGGAAUACCGGGGCAAGCGAGGUAGGAGUACGGUUGGCAAAUCCGCCGUGCAAUCCGAAGACGUGACGCGCAGCGAACUAAAGUAGCGAAGUGUGUGAUUCCGGCUGUCAAGAAAAGCCGCUAUUGUGUGAUACAUGCCCGUACCGUAAACCGACACAGGUAGAUGAGGAGAGAAUCCUAAGGCCGGCGGGAGAAGCAUUGUUAAGGAACUCGGCAAAAUGACCCCGUAACUUCGGGAGAAGGGGUGCCACAGAGAUGUGGCCGCAGAGAAUAGGCUCAAGCAACUGUUUAGCAAAAACACAGGUCUAUGCAAAACCGUAAGGUGAGGUAUAUGGGCUGACGCCUGCCCGGUGCUGGAAGGUUAAGAGGAGAGGUUAGAGCAAUCGAAGCUUUGAAUUUAAGCCCCAGUAAACGGCGGCCGUAACUAUAACGGUCCUAAGGUAGCGAAAUUCCUUGUCGGGUAAGUUCCGACCC
rnacentral:rRNA from 1 species